rnacentral:rRNA from 1 species
CCUACGGGAGGCAGCAGUGAGGAAUAUUGGUCAAUGUGCGGAAGCCUGAACCAGCCAAGUAGCGUGCAGGAUGACGGCCCUACGGGUUGUAACCUGCUUUUAUACGGGAAUAACGCGCCUUAAGUGAAGGGCUUUGACUUUACCGGAUGAAUAAGGCCCGGCUGAUACCGUGCCAGGAGCUGCGGUAAUACCGAAGGUCCGGGCGUUAUCCGGAUUUAUUUGGGUUAAAGGGAGCGUAGGCCGCAUGUCAAGCGUGCUGUGAAAUGUCCGGGCUCAACCCGGGCCUGGCAGCGCGAACUGGCGUGCUUGAGUCCGCGGAAAGCAGGCGGAAUUCGUCGUGUAGCGGUGAAAUGCUUAGAUAUGACGAAGAACCCCGAUUGCGAAGGCAGCUUGCUGCAGCGGAACUGACGCUGAUGCUCGAAAGCGCGGGUAUCGAACAGGAUUAGAUACCCGAGUAGUC